rnacentral:rRNA from 1 species
UACAGAGGGUGCAAGCGUUGUUCGGAAUUAUUGGGCGUAAAGGGCGCGUAGGCGGCGCGGGAAGUCAACGGUGAAAGUUCAGGGCUCAACCCUGAAUCGGCCGUCGAUACUCUCGUGCUUGAGCACUGUAGAGGCAGGUGGAAUUCCGGGUGUAGCGGUGGAAUGCGUAGAGAUCCGGAAGAACACCGGUGGCGAAGGCGGCCUGCUGGGCAGUA